rnacentral:misc_RNA from 1 species
CUGAAUUGUUAACAUGAGUUGUUGCUGGCCCCCCAAACGGAGGCAUGUGCACGCUCUGUUUACACAUCCACUCACACCUGUGCACCCUCUGUAGUUCUGUGGCCUGGGUGACUCUGUCCCCUUGCUGUCGUUCUGCAUCUUUACACACAUACACUGUAACAUAGUUUUGUGGAAUGUAUCCUGCAUAUUAUGCAAUACAAUA